UGUGUGUCGUGUGCCUCACCUGUGCCAGGAGCUCCUCCUGAUUCCUCUGACACAGUCAUGAAUGGGACAGAAGAACUUCCUCGCUCCUGGAGCGUUGCUUGCCGGUGGUGCUGGAGACGGUGGAAGAUCACACGCAGCUUUGGCAAGAGGGUCAGGUUUUGGAGCAAGAAAAUGAUUUGAUGAGGUCUCCAGUUAAGAGAAUGUCUGGCAGAUGUGUUUAUAAAAAAUGGAGGAGAAGCAGUUUGGCAGAAAAUGCACUUUCUUUGGCUCCAGAUGGCCACUGUAGCCAGCCCAGGUCCAUGUGGAAUGAAGGCCAAGGCAGGACUCCUGGUACCUGGUGGGGGGAAUUCACUGUGCACAGCCAACCUGACCUGGAGAAGCAACCAGAUAAGAACCUGAAGGAUGACCAGCAUUUCUGCAGUAGAGGAGCCCUCAGGGACUGGCAGCAGCUGCUUUCUAAAUUGGUAUGGUAACCACCUGGUUCCGGUUGGUCUGGGACUUUCCUGAUUUUAGCACUGAAAUUCCCACGUCUUGGGAAACCCCUCAGUGCUGAGCAAUCUGGAAUGGUUGGUCACCUUGCCAGGUUGCCCUUCACACUCGGGAAUUCCAGAACAUUUGGCUGGUGCAGUAGGCCCGUGGUCCUCAAGUUCAGAUGAAGAAUGACGACAUCGGCAAGCCUGUAUGGCCAGUUACCAAUGAGGACACCUGGUCCCCCUCAGACUGAGCCAGGAAGAACCGAGUGUGGCCAAGAAUCAGUGCUUUCCCCAGGGCCUUUUUGUGUACAUUGAAGUUUGGAUAAAAUUCUCAGAUGAUAAAAUUCCAGUCCCAGGACGGGGAUGGUGAUAACAGCCCCCGUGGUCUGGGUGUGGCAGGACAGGACCAUUUGUCUUUGGAUAAUAAAUGACCACCUCAGGUUCCUCGUGCAUUAAGUAGAGAUAAUUAAAGGAUAUGCAAGCCCAGAGCCCCUGACGUCUA